rnacentral:rRNA from 1 species
CCUACGGGAGGCAGCAGUAGGGAAUCUUUCACAAUGGGCGAAAGCCUGAUGGAGCAACGCCGCGUGCAGGAUGAAGGCCUUCGGGUUGUAAACUGCUUUUAUAAGCGAGAAAUAUGAUGGUAACUUAUGAAUAAGGAUCGGCUAACUACGUGCCAGCAGCCGCGGUCAUACGUAGGAUCCGAGCAUUAUCCGGAGUGACUGGGUGUAAAGAGUUGCGUAGGUGGUAUAAUAAGUAGAUAGUGAAAUCUGGUGGCUCAACCAUUAAGACUAUUAGCUAAACUGUUAAGCUCGAGACCGUUAGGGGUAACUGGAAUUUGUAGUGUAGGAGUGAAAUGCGUAGAUAUUAGGAAGAACACCGAUAGCGUAGGCAGGUUACUAGGACGGUUCUGACACUAAGGCACGAAAGCGUAGGGAGCAAACGGGAUUAGAUACCCUAGUAGUC